rnacentral:rRNA from 1 species
GAUGAACGCUGGCGGCGUGCCUAAUACAUGCAAGUCGAGCGAACAGAUGCGGAGCUUGCUCCUCUGACGUUAGCGGCGGACGGGUGAGUAACACGUGGAUAACCUACCUAUAAGACUGGGAUAACUUCGGGAAACCGGAGCUUAUACCGUAUAAUCUAUUGAACCGUAUGGUUCAAUAGUGAAAUACGGUUUUGCGGUCUCUUAUAGCUGGAUACGCGCUGCAUUAGCUGGUUGGUAAGGUAAAGGCUUAUCAAGGCAACGAUGCGUAGCCGACCUGAGAGGGGGAUAGGCGACACUGGAGCGGAGACACGGACAAGACGCCUACGGGAGGCAGCAGAAGGGAAUGGUCGGCAAUGGGCGAAAGCCUGACGGAGCAACGCCGCGUGAGAGAUGAAGGUCUUCGGAGCGUAAAAAUCUGUUAUUAGGGAUGAACAAAUGUGUAAGUAAAUAUGCACGGAGUGACGGUACCGAAUAAGAAAGCCACGGCUAACUACGUG